rnacentral:pre_miRNA from 1 species
UACAUUGUUUUGACUCUUCGUCUUAUUUAAAUUUUUUUUACGAUUAAUAUUUUUAUUCUUACUAGAUGAUAAAACAUGAAUGGUACUUUAUACGUAACUAUUUUUUUAAAAUUUUGUAUAAAUUUUUAAAUAAGACGAAUGGUGAAACGUUGGACACCGAAAACGA